rnacentral:rRNA from 1 species
CUAGCGACAGGCCUAACACAUGCAAGUCGAGGGGCAGCACAAGGAGCAAUCUGAGGUGGCGACCGGCGCACGGGUGAGUAACACGUAUGCAACCUGCCUGUAAGCGGGGAAUAACCCGUUGAAAGACGGACUAAUACCGCAUAAUACUAAAUUACUGCAUGGUAAUUAUUUAAACAUUUAUGGCUUACAGAUGGGCAUGCGCAUGAUUAGCUAGUUGGAGAGGUAACGGCUCCCCAAGGCAACGAUCAUUAGGGGUUCUGAGAGGAAGGUCCCCCACACUGGUACUGAGACACGGACCAGACUCCUACGGGAGGCAGCAGUGAGGAAUAUUGGUCAAUGGACGAGAGUCUGAACCAGCCAAGUCGCGUGCAGGAAGAAUGUCCUAAUGGAUUGUAAACUGCUUUUGCAGAGGAAUAAAGUGCAUCACGUGUGAUGUUUUGUAUGUACUCUGCGAAUAAGGAUCGGCUAACUCCGUGCCAGCCGCCGC